rnacentral:rRNA from 1 species
GACAGAGGUGCCGAGCGUUAGGCGGAAUCACUGGGCUUAAAGCGUGUGUAGGCGGGCGGGCAAGUACCUUGUGAAAUCCCACGGCUCAACCGUGGAACUGCUGGGUAUACUGCCUGUCUUGAGCCAACUAGGGGCGAGCGGAACAGACGGUGGAGCGGUGAAAUGCGUAGAUAUCGUCUGGAACGCCGAAGGUGAAAACAGCUCGCUGGGGCUGUGCUGACGCUGAGACACGAAAGCCAGGGGAGCGAACGGG